rnacentral:rRNA from 1 species
CCUACGGGAGGCAGCAGUCGAGAAUCAUUCACAAUGGGGGAAACCCUGAUGGUGCGACGCCGCGUGGGGGAAUGAAGGUCUUCGGAUUGUAAACCCCUGUCAUGCGGGAGCAAAUUAAAAAGAUAGUACCACAAGAGGAAGAGACGGCUAACCCUGUGCCAGCAGCCGCGGUAAUACAGAGGUCUCAAGCGUUGUUCGGAACCACUGGGCGUAAAGCGUGCGUAGGAUGUUUCGUAAGUCGUGGGUGAAAGGCGGGGGCUCAACCCGCGGACUGCACAUGAUACUGCGAGACUAGAGUAAUGGAGGGGGAACCGGAAUGCUCGGUGUAGCAGUGAAAUGCGUAGAUAUCGAGAGGAACACUCGUGGCGAAGGCGGGUUCCUGGACAUUAACUGACGCUGAGGCACGAAGGCCAGGGGAGCGAAAGGGAUUAGAUACCCGGGUAGUC